UACGUAGGGUGCAAGCGUUAAUCGGAAUUACUGGGCGUAAAGCGUGCGCAGGCGGUUUUGUAAGUCUGUCGUGAAAUCCCCGGGCUCAACCUGGGAAUUGCGAUGGAGACUGCAAGGCUAGAAUCUGGCAGAGGGGGGGUAGAAUUCCACGUGUAGCAGUGAAAUGCGUAGAGAUGUGGAGGAACACCGAUGGCGAAGGCAGCCUCCUGGGUCAAGAUUGACG
rnacentral:rRNA from 1 species